UAUUCUAAGUUCCGUCAACACUGGCUCUGCUAGUUUCUACUUUCUAGAUCUAAAGUAGCACAGGACAGACAUUCAGAUUAAUACUUGAGGAAUAUCUAAGCAGGUGAGCACUGAUAAAAUUAACUGUCCUGUUCAUUUACUGCAGAUGCUGAGAGCUGCUGUGCUUCCGCUCCAUUCACAAACCUCCCCCUGACCUAGGAAACGUGUGAACAGGAUGUGCAGAUGCUGCAGACAUUUAAACAGAGGCCUGGGCGCCCUUACCAUCAUCGUGUAAUCAAUCUGCGGCGCCAUCUCAGCGUUCGUGCCUCCUUUCAGACGGAGCUCCGACGGAGACGCAGCAAACAGGACACAGGGCAUUGAGACCUGCAUCAAGAGGCACACACUCCUAAGGAAAAGGCAGAGCAGCUUCACUGGACUGUCUUUUGAGUCUCAGAACAGCUGUAUUUGUUACUGCAUGCCAGUGUCACCUGAAGCUCAGACAGUGGAAAAGUUAGAAAACACUUCAGUGUCUGAAGGGUAAAAUCCUGACUCUUACAGGAGUAUUUCAAGGAGAAAGACAAAAGCAAACUGGGCUGAGGUAAUAAAUAAGUCAAUCGUAAA